CCAGAGGCGCUUCACUGCCCCCACCACCGAUCUCAGCUGCAGAAUAAGGAGGAGCAGAUACAGAGGUGGUCUUCCGGCGUGGAUUGAACAGGAUUUCCUUGAGUGUGUCCAGUCCUUCUGGCCCGGAGCUGUGCCUGAGGAUACAGUGACCUUCCAAUGACCUGUAACUCGGCCUGGAUGAAAUACUAUGUUGUGCCAGCCCAAGUCAGGGGAUAAGACUGCCUGCUCUUCCGCCAUAACUGUGAUCAGAAGGCUGAAAUGCACAAGGGCGCUGCAGUCAUGCCAUUUUCUAUGGUGUGGCCUGCUGGGGCAGCAGCAUCUCGGCUGCUGAACAGACUGGUAAGGAAGGCCAGCUCUGUCCUGGGGAGUCUUCUGGACACUGGAGGUGGUGGGAGACAGGAAACCAAGCUGUCCCACCCCCUCCAGGACACCCUGUCCUCACUUUGCAGCACCUUCAGCGACAGGCUGCUGCACGCCCGCUGUCUCACGGAGAGGUACCGCAGGUUCUUCCUUCCUUCUGCAGCGGUCAGACUUUACAACCAGCACAGCCCUGUAAGAACUGUUACAGGAUGUGUAUUUUGAA